UGGGGAAUAUUGCACAAUGGGCGCAAGCCUGAUGCAGCAACGCCGCGUGAACGAUGAAGGUCUUCGGAUCGUAAAGUUCUGUUGCAGGGGAAGAUAAUGACGGUACCCUGUGAGGAAGCCCCGGCUAACUACGUGCCAGCAGCCGCGGUAAUACGUAGGGGGCUAGCGUUAUCCGGAUUCAUUGGGCGUAAAGAGCUCGUAGGCGGUUUGUCGCGUCUGCUGUGAAAGACCGGGGCUUAACUCCGGGGCUGCAGUGGGUACGGGCAGGCUGGAGUGCGGUAGGGGUAACCGGAAUUCCUGGUGUAGCGGUGGAAUGCGCAGAUAUCAGGAGGAACACCGAUGGCGAAGGCAGGUUACUGGGCCGUUACUGACGCUGAGGAGCGAAAGCAUGGGGAGCGAACAGG
rnacentral:rRNA from 1 species